GACUUACCAACCCGAUGCAAACUGCGAAUACCGGAGAAUGUUAUCACGGGAGACACACGGCGGGUGCUAACGUCCGUCGUGAAGAGGGAAACAACCCAGACCGCCAGCUAAGGUCCCAAAGUCAUGGUUAAGUGGGAAACGAUGUGGGAAGGCCCAGACAGCCAGGAUGUUGGCUUAGAAGCAGCCAUCAUUUAAAGAAAGCGUAAUAGCUCACUGGUCGAGUCGGCCUGCGCGGAAGAUGUAACGGGGCUAAACCAUGCACCGAAGCUGCGGCAGCGACACUGUGUGUUGUUGGGUAGGGGAGCGUUCUGUAAGCCUGUGAAGGUGUGCUGUGAGGCAUGCUGGAGGUAUCAGAAGUGCGAAUGCUGACAUAAGUAACGAUAAAGCGGGUGAAAAGCCCGCUCGCCGGAAGACCAAGGGUUCCUGUCCAACGUUAAUCGGGGCAGGGUGAGUCGACCCCUAAGGCGAGGCCGAAAGGCGUAGUCGAUGGGAAACAGGUUAAUAUUCCUGUACUUGGUGUUACUGCGAAGGGGGGACGGAGAAGGCUAUGUUGGCCGGGCGACGGUUGUCCCGGUUUAAGCGUGUAGGCUGGUUUUCCAGGCAAAUCCGGAAAAUCAAGGCUGAGGCGUGAUGACGAGGCACUACGGUGCUGAAGCAACAAAUGCCCUGCUUCCAGGAAAAGCCUCUAAGCAUCAGGUAACAUCAAAUCGUACCCCAAACCGACACAGGUGGUCAGGUAGAGAAUACCAAGGCGCUUGAGAGAACUCGGGUGAAGGAACUAGGCAAAAUGGUGCCGUAACUUCGGGAGAAGGCACGCUGAUAUGUAGGUGAAGUCCCUCGCGGAUGGAGCUGAAAUCAGUCGAAGAUACCAGCUGGCUGCAACUGUUUAUUAAAAACACAGCACUGUGCAAACACGAAAGUGGACGUAUACGGUGUGACGCCUGCCCGGUGCCGGAAGGUUAAUUGAUGGGGUCAGCGCAAGCGAAGCUCUUGAUCGAAGCCCCGGUAAACGGCGGCCGUAACUAUAACGGUCCUAAGGUAGCGAAAUUCCUUGUCGGGUAAGUUCCGACCUGCACGAAUGGCGUAAUGAUGGCCAGGCUGUCUCCACCCGAGACUCAGUGAAAUUGAACUCGCUGUGAAGAUGCAGUGUACCCGCGGCAAGACGGAAAGACCCCGUGAACCUUUACUAUAGCUUGACACUGAACAUUGAGCCUUGAUGUGUAGGAUAGGUGGGAGGCUUUGAAGUGUGGACGCCAGUCUGCAUGGAGCCGACCUUGAAAUACCACCCUUUAAUGUUUGAUGUUCUAACGUGGACCCGUGAUCCGGGUUGCGGACAGUGUCUGGUGGGUAGUUUGACUGGGGCGGUCUCCUCCUAAAGAGUAACGGAGGAGCACGAAGGUUGGCUAAUCCUGGUCGGACAUCAGGAGGUUAGUGCAAUGGCAUAAGCCAGCUUGACUGCGAGCGUGACGGCGCGAGCAGGUGCGAAAGCAGGUCAUAGUGAUCCGGUGGUUCUGAAUGGAAGGGCCAUCGCUCAACGGAUAAAAGGUACUCCGGGGAUAACAGGCUGAUACCGCCCAAGAGUUCAUAUCGACGGCGGUGUUUGGCACCUCGAUGUCGGCUCAUCACAUCCUGGGGCUGAAGUAGGUCCCAAGGGUAUGGCUGUUCGCCAUUUAAAGUGGUACGCGAGCUGGGUUUAGAACGUCGUGAGACAGUUCGGUCCCUAUCUGCCGUGGGCGCUGGAGAACUGAGGGGGGCUGCUCCUAGUACGAGAGGACCGGAGUGGACGCAUCACUGGUGUUCGGGUUGUCAUGCCAAUGGCACUGCCCGGUAGCUAAAUGCGGAAGAGAUAAGUGCUGAAAGCAUCUAAGCACGAAACUUGCCCCGAGAUGAGUUCUCCCUGACCCUUUAAGGGUCCUGAAGGAACGUUGAAGACGACGACGUUGAUAGGCCGGGUGUGUAAGCGCAGCGAUGCGUUGAGCUAACCGGUACUAAUGAACCGUGAGGCUUAACCUUACAACGCCGAAGGUGUUU
rnacentral:rRNA from 1 species